CUCAAAUUUGAAAUCUGGCGUCUUUGGCGUCCGAGUUGUAAUUUGAAGAAGGUAUCUUUGGGCCCGGCUCUUGUCUAUGUUCCUUGGAACAGGACGUCACAGAGGGUGAGAAUCCCGUGCGAUGAGAUGGCCCGGGUCUAUGUAAAGUUCCUUCGACGAGUCGAGUUGUUUGGGAAUGCAGCUCUAAGUGGGUGGUAAAUUCCAUCUAAAGCUAAAUAUUGGCGAGAGACCGAUAGCGAACAAGUACAGUGAUGGAAAGAUGAAAAGAACUUUGAAAAGAGAGUGAAAAAGUACGUGAAAUUGUUGAAAGGGAAGGGCUUGAGAUCAGACUUGGUAUUUUGCAAGUUACUCUUUCGGGGGUGGCCUCUGCGGUUUACCGGGCCAGCAUCGGUUUGGAGCGGUAGGAUAAUGGCGGGGGAAUGUGGCACGACUUUGGUUGUGUGUUAUAGCCUCUGACGAUACUGCCAGCCUAGACCGAGGACUGCGGUUUUUACCUAGGAUGUU
rnacentral:rRNA from 1 species